UACGUAGGGUCCGAGCGUUGUCCGGAAUUACUGGGCGUAAAGAGCUCGUAGGUGGUUUGUCGCGUUGUUCGUGAAAACUCACAGCUCAACUGUGGGCGUGCGGGCGAUACGGGCAGACUAGAGUACUGGCAGGGGAGACUGGAAUUCCUGGUGUAGCGGUGGAAUGCGCAGAUAUCAGGAGGAACACCGGUGGCGAAGGCGGGUCUCUGGGCAGUAACUGACGCUGGAGGUGCGAAAGCGUGGGGAGCAAACAGG
rnacentral:rRNA from 1 species